AGAGUUUGAUCCUGGCUCAGGACGAACGCUGGCGGCGUGCCUAAUACAUGCAAGUAGAACGCUGAAGAGAGGAGCUUGCUCUUCUUGGAUGAGUUGCGAACGGGUGAGUAACGCGUAGGUAACCUGCCUUGUAGCGGGGGAUAACUAUUGGAAACGAUAGCUAAUACCGCAUAACAAUGGAUGACACAUGUCAUUUAUUUGAAAGGGGCAAUUGCUCCACUACAAGAUGGACCUGCGUUGUAUUAGCUAGUAGGUGAGGUAAUGGCUCACCUAGGCGACGAUACAUAGCCGACCUGAGAGGGUGAUCGGCCACACUGGGACUGAGACACGGCCCAGACUCCUACGGGAGGCAGCAGUAGGGAAUCUUCGGCAAUGGGGGCAACCCUGACCGAGCAACGCCGCGUGAGUGAAGAAGGUUUUCGGAUCGUAAAGCUCUGUUGUAAGUCAAGAACGGGUGUGAGAGUGGAAAGUUCACACUGUGACGGUAGCUUACCAGAAAGGGACGGCUAACUACGUGCCAGCAGCCGCGGUAAUACGUAGGUCCCGAGCGUUGUCCGGAUUUAUUGGGCGUAAAGCGAGCGCAGGCGGUUUGAUAAGUCUGAAGUUAAAGGCUGUGGCUCAACCAUAGUUCGCUUUGGAAACUGUCAAACUUGAGUGCAGAAGGGGAGAGUGGAAUUCCAUGUGUAGCGGUGAAAUGCGUAGAUAUAUGGAGGAACACCGGUGGCGAAAGCGGCUCUCUGGUCUGUAACUGACGCUGAGGCUCGAAAGCGUGGGGAGCGAACAGGAUUAGAUACCCUGGUAGUCCACGCCGUAAACGAUGAGUGCUAGGUGUUGGAUCCUUUCCGGGAUUCAGUGCCGCAGCUAACGCAUUAAGCACUCCGCCUGGGGAGUACGACCGCAAGGUUGAAACUCAAAGGAAUUGACGGGGGCCCGCACAAGCAGUGGAGUAUGUGGUUUAAUUCGAAGCAACGCGAAGAACCUUACCAGGUCUUGACAUCCGAUGCAUAGCACAGAGAUGUGUGAAAUCCUUCGGGACAUCGAGACAGGUGGUGCAUGGUUGUCGUCAGCUCGUGUCGUGAGAUGUUGGGUUAAGUCC
rnacentral:rRNA from 1 species